UACGGAGGAUGCAAGCGUUAUCCGGAUUUAUUGGGUUUAAAGGGUGCGUAGGCGGGAAAAUAAGUCAGUGGUGAAAUCCUACAGCUUAACUGUAGAAUUGCCGUUGAUACUGUUUUUCUUGAGUAUGGUCAAGGAAGGCGGAAUGUGUAAUGUAGCGGUGAAAUGCUUAGAUAUUACACAGAACACCAAUUGCGAAGGCAGCUUUCUGGCCCAUUACUGACGCUGAGGCACGAAAGCGUGGGGAUCGAACAGGAUUAGAUACCCGUGUA
rnacentral:rRNA from 1 species